rnacentral:tRNA from 1 species
UUCCACCUAGCUCAGUUGGUAAAGAAUCCGCCUGCGAUGUGGAAGACUUGGGUUCGAUCCCUGGGUUGGGAA